GACUGUGUCACUUACGUGGAAGUCGACGGCCUGUCGAGUGUUUUGUGCGCGCAGGUGCUGGCGUUUGAGAAGGAACACGGAGCAGUGAUAACCGAACCUUGUACGGCUGAGCGGAACGAGUGAGUUAGAGUGUUGUGAAAACGGUGACAGAGCAAUCGCGGCACAGCUGUGCGAGACGAGUGAGUCAGCGUGCAGUUGGAGUCGAGUGCAGCAGACGGCGAGCGGAGUGAUCACGGUUGUACAGCUGUUUGGAGAUGAGUGAGUCCGCGGUUGGUGAAACGGCGCACGGCGACGCAGAGUUUUUACAACGCGGGAAAUUGACUAGACUGGGUAGUGGGAAUCGCUACCCUGUCAUAUUGCAUGUGACAGGGAUGUACAGUGUGGUGUGGGUCUUUGUUGUGCAGUGAGUCUGUGGCUCAGAGGACUUCGUAUGUGCACACCACAAGGACUGAAGGGAGACGAAUGCCAUCCAUACAGCCACAAGUUUCCUUUUCCUGGCAAGAGACAACACCACACGUGCCCCUGCCUGCCAUACCUGGUGUGCAGCAGGUACAACGACAACGGAUAUCGCUGCACCAGCGACUUUAAAAACAUAGAUUUUUAACACUAAAAUGGAGAGCGAAUACAAGAACA